rnacentral:rRNA from 1 species
GUCCACGCCGUAAACGAUGUCUGCUAGCCGUUGGGAUCCUUGAGGUUUCGGUGGCGCAGCUAACGCGAUAAGCAGACCGCCUGGGGAGUACGGCCGCAAGGUUAAAACUCAAAUGAAUUGACGGGGGCCCGCACAAGCGGUGGAGCAUGUGGUUUAAUUCGAUGCAACGCGAAGAACCUUACCAGGUCUUGACAUCCAGAGAACUUUCCAGAGAUGGAUUGGUGCCUUCGGGAACUCUGAGACAGGUGCUGCAUGGCUGUCGU